rnacentral:rRNA from 1 species
AACGAACGCUGGCGGCAGGCUUAACACAUGCAAGUCGAACGCAUCCUUCGGGGUGAGUGGCAGACGGGUGAGUAACGCGUGGGAACGUGCCCUUCAGUUCGGGAUAACCCAGGGAAACUUGGGCUAAUACCGGAUACGUGCGAGAGCAGAAAGAUUUACCGCUGAAGGAUCGGCCCGCGUCUGAUUAGCUAGUUGGUGGGGUAAUGGCCACCAAGGCGACGAUCAGUAGCUGGUCUGAGAGGAUGAUCAGCCACAUUGGGACUGAGACACGGCCCAAACUCCUACGGGAGGCAGCAGUGGGGAAUAUUGGACAAUGGGCGCAAGCCUGAUCCAGCCAUGCCGCGUGAGUGAUGAAGGCCUUAGGGUUGUAAAGCUCUUUCGUCCGGGACGAUAAUGACGGUACCGGAAGAAGAAGCUCCGGCUAACUUCGUGCCAGCAGCCGCCGUAAGAC